rnacentral:rRNA from 1 species
GACGAACGCUGGCGGCGUGCUUAACACAUGCAAGUCGAACGGAAAGGCCCUGCUUUUGUGGGGUGCUCGAGUGGCGAACGGGUGAGUAACACGUGAGUAACCUGCCCUUGACUUUGGGAUAACUUCAGGAAACUGGGGCUAAUACCGGAUAGGAGCUCCUGCUGCAUGGUGGGCGUUGGAAAGUUUCGGCGGUUGGGGAUGGACUCGCGACUUAUCAGCUUGUUGGUGGGGUAGUGGCUUACCAAGGCUUUGACGGGUAGCCGGCCUGAGAGGGUGACCGGCCACAUUGGGACUGAGAUACGGCCCAGACUCCUACGGGAGGCAGCAGUGGGGAAUAUUGCACAAUGGGCGGAAGCCUGAUGCAGCAACGCCGCGUGCGGGAUGACGGCCUUCGGGUUGUAAACCGCUUUCGCCUGUGACGAAGCGUGAGUGACGGUAAUGGGUAAAGAAGCACCGGCUAACUACGUG